rnacentral:rRNA from 1 species
UACGUAGGGGGCAAGCGUUGUCCGGAAUCAUUGGGCGUAAAGCGCGCGUAGGCGGCCCGGUAAGUCCGCUCUGAAAGUCCAGGGCUCAACCCUGGAAAGCGGGUGGAUACUGCCGGGCUAGAAUCCGGAAGAGGCGAGUGGAAUUCCUGGUGUAGCGGUGGAAUGCGCAGAUAUCAGGAGGAACACCAAUAGCGAAGGCAGCUCGCUGGGACGUUACUGACGCUGAGACGCGAAAGCGUGGGGAGCAAACAGG